UUAUGAUCUUUGGAUGGUUUACGAUAUGAGGAUUGGUUGGUUGCUUGAUGAGAUUAUUGCUUAUUUUGUCGUGAGUAUGGGGAUUGAUCUUGUAUGAUGAGGGUUGUCUUGUGAUGGGCAGUCGUGCCUGAUGAGAUCACCGUUUACUUUGCCUUGAGAGGAUCAUCUUUGAGAUUAUCAUAGAGCAUUUGGAGUACAGUUGGUGCAUGAUUCUAGAGUGUUGACGUGGUCAUAUCAGAUAGACAUCGAUCUUUAGUAUUGAUCAUUUGAGGGCUUGAGAGCAUGAUGUAUGAGACCGUGGUUGCAGGAUGGGUGGCCUUCAUUUCGGUUAGCUCACACCCUAUUACCUCUAUUGACAUAGUCCAUUGCUAGCCCUUUGAGCCUCGCAUGAGCAUCGUAGCCUUUUAUUUCUUAUAGCCUUGCUCACCUUCUACACCGGGAUAGGGGCCCAUCAGUGUAUGCAUGCAUUGUUUAGGAGUUUCAUGAGCCUGGGACCGAGGGGUACAUCUUUCUCAUUAUCUUUUCCUAUCAUUGCGUCAUUGCAUUUCAUCACAUCUCGUUGGUUCUUCAUCCUCUUCUUUAUUAUAUCUAUCAUUUGUUCCGCUUCAUCUUCUUCCACCCCCGAGUGGUGAUCAUCCUCAGUUCAUUACAUGGAGGGUAGUCAUGUCAUUUUCCACUAUCUAUCCUACGGACGUUGAUCCAGGGAUCCUUGGCUUGAGAGGGUCACAUCAUUAGAGAGAGUUUGUGAUAUAUUGAUAUUUGAGAGCAUGAUUAUUCAUUUUUGAUCCCGUCUUUGGGUCUUUCUUGGUUUGCUUUAGAGCAUGUAUAUUUGUAUAUAUGUAAAAAAAAAAAAAAAAAAAAAAAGAAAAAAGAAAAAAAAAAAGAGGCACAUGUGUGUAUUAUUCUCUAUCAUUGAGUAUGUGUAUAUUAGUGUUCGAGGGGUCGCUUUGUUGGAUAUGUCUAUUGAUGGGAGUUCGUAUGUGAGCUCCUCGGGACCUUUCAUUCUUCGUAUUCAUUUUGUUGUAUGUUUUGAGAGCGAGAUGAGUGGCCUUCUCUUAGGAGCUCUGGGUCAUUGUCCAUUCCAUCAUUGUGUUCAUUAUUGACGUGACCUCCUUUCAUAUUUGAUUUGAGCAGAUCAUCAUUUGUUCUCGUAUUCUAUGCUUCAUCAUCAUCCUCGUUUUCACUUCUGUUUUAUCAUUUUUCAUUCCACCCCUUAUUCCAUUCUUACAGUGACCUCAUUUUCGGGUUUGAUACCCUCUUCGCUCCAUCAUUAUUCAUUGCAUCAUCAUUGUUACCAUGUUCACAGUAGGCAUCUUUCGGUCCAUGGCUCACGAUAUUUUCUAUACAUGUUGCAUUCUAUACAUGAGGGCAUGGGUUUUUGAUCAUUGGGUAUUUGGGCCUAGUUUCCCUUCAUUUCUAUCACCCUAUCACCCUAGCCUUCAUUACGUCCUGAGUCUUAAGACCACCCUGAGGCCAUGACAUCACACAUUGUGUUUGAUAACUCUUAUGUGAGCGAUACUUGGGGUUGAUUCG
rnacentral:lncRNA from 1 species